GACGAACGCUGGCGGCGUGCUUAACACAUGCAAGUCGAACGGAAAGGCCCUGCUUUUGUGGGGUGCUCGAGUGGCGAACGGGUGAGUAACACGUGAGUAACCUGCCCUUGACUUUGGGAUAACUUCAGGAAACUGGGGCUAAUACCGGAUAGGAGCUCCUGCUGCAUGGUGGGGGUUGGAAAGUUUCGGCGGUUGGGGAUGGACUGGCGGCUUCUCCGCUUGUUGGUGGGGUAGUGGCUUACCAAGCGUUUGACGGGUAGCCGGCCUGAGAGGGUGACCGGCCACAGUGGGACUGAGAGACGGCCCAGACUCCUACGGGAGGCAGCAGGGGGGAAUAUUGCGCAAUGGGCGGAAGCCUGAUGCAGCAACGCCGCGUGCGGGAUGACGGCCUUCGGGGGAUAAACCGCUUUCGCCUGUAACGAAGCGUGAGUGACGGUAAUGAGUAAAGAAGCACCGGCUAACUACGUG
rnacentral:rRNA from 1 species